rnacentral:lncRNA from 1 species
AUGCCAGAGCUGUGGCACACAGUUUUGCCUCUGCUGAGAGAGUGUUAUCAAAACCAUCAAUGCCGUUGUGUUACUUACCAAGCCCUGCUUACCUGUGCACUCCUGUGUUACUCACACACCUGUGGCAGGUCCAGCGGCAGCAGGUCAGGGAGCAGACACCUUGCAUUUCACAGCAGAAGUGUGGACAGCACUGGUGUUGGCCUGCCUCUAAUGAGUCAGCUGAACUGCUCGAAAGGAGAGAGAUUACAUACAACAGGACUAUAAAAGCAGAACAAAGAAGAUAAUGGAUGUUCAUUUGUAAGGACUUUGAAAACAAACAGACAAAUAAACAAAACCAGAUUUACCUUGCUAUAAAUCCA